GGGGGCUUGUGUGUGCAGGAUAUGCACGAGAAAAGUUUUCUGUCUACGCACUAGAAACAUCAGGGAAGCAACGCCUUUUCACCAUACAUAAUGUGGAAGAGUGAACGGUAAAUGGUUAAUCUUACUGGGAUCGCGCCUCAUUGACCGGCUCAUAUGAAGAGGGCAUUGAGAGACCUGGAAGGGUCUGCUGUUGGAGACAUUGAGGAAAACGAAGAGUCUUGCCAACUUGAGUCCGAUGCUGGUCCGUGCUUCCAGCUUUUACAUCCGUUCUUCUAUAGCCAAACCUCGAUGACCUGUGAACGAUUAAAUUAUGGUGGUUGUCUUGGAAACAAUAAUAACUUUAUGACGUAACGGGACUGUUUACAGACUUGCCGAACUGAAGCUGCUUGCAGGUUGCCCAUAGAAACUGGCUCUGCAGAAAGAGCAUUGACUUCUGGGCGUUGACUCCAACAUGGGCAGGUGAAUCCGUUUCAUGUACGGUGGCUGUGAAGGAAACGGGAACAAGUUCUAUACAGAGAAGUAGAGUGUGGAGUACUGCGACCCCAUCCCAGAAGGUGAUGAAUGUUCCGUAUGGUCUCUAGUUCCCAUGGACUCCAGCUGAUGGUGGCUUUGAGCUCAUUUACCUGGUUAUUUCAGCUCCACGGGGUUGAAUGUGGUCAAACCCGGGAUUUCUAGCCACUGACCCAUCACUGGCGUAUUUUCAUAUAUUUAUAUAGCUUGCAGCGUGGAAACCAGCCCUAGACCCAUCUUGUCCUUGUCAUUCAGGAUGCCUGUCUGAGCUCUUCCAAUGUGUCUGCAUUUGGCCCAUUACCCUCUAACUUUUCCUGUCCAUAUACUCAGUAAAUGUAUUUUAAGCAUUGUAGUUACCCACCUCUAUCACCUCCCCUGGCAGCUUAUUUACAGAUCCACCACCUUCUGUGUGAGAAAUUUGCCCUCAGAUCCUUUAAAUCUUUCCUUUCUCCUUAAAUCUAUACUCUCUAGUUUUAGGCUCCCCCACCCAGGGGUUAAAAAAGAAACUGUGAAUAUCUACCCCUUCUGUACCCCUCAUUAUUCUUAUAAACCUCUGUUAAGUCACUCUUUAGCCUCCAGGCUUUAACAGUCCCAAGCUAUUCAGUCUUUCCCUAUAACUCCAGCCCUCCAAUCCCGGAAAACAUCCUGGUGAAUCUUUCCCGUACUGUUUCCAGCUUACUGACAUCCUUAUUAUAGUCUAAUAGCUAAAGAUGCACACAAUAUCCCUGGUGUGGCUGAACCAAUGCUUUAUGUAACUCUAACAUGACUCAGCCAAUGAGAGCAUGUGUGUCACAUGCCUUCUUCACCAUCCUGUUUACCUGCAUCACCACUUCUGGCAAACUAUGUACCUGUGCCCUUGGUCACUUGUUGGUCUUCCAGCACAGCUAGGUGCUACCGAAUGGCACAUUCCAGCUAACUGCGGUACAUGCUGAGAGAUGCACUGAAGGUCUGGCCAAAGCAAAGGCUUUUUUGGGAAGGACAACAGUUGAGUUCAUGUGAACAUAAUAACAUAAGAAAUAAGAGCAGGAGUUGGGCAUCUGGCUUGUCAAGCCUGCUCCGCCAUUCUAUAACAUCAAGUCUGAUCUGGCCAUGGACUCAUCUCCACUUAACUGCAUUUUCCCCAUAACUCUUGAUACCCCUGCUAUGCAAAAAUCCAUCAGCCUUGUCUUAAAAAUAUUUACUGAGGUAGCCUCUGCUGCUUCACUGGGCAGAGAAUUCCACAGAUUCACCACUCUUUGGUUCCUUCUCAUAUCCUUCCUAAGUCUAUUCUCUAAAUCUUGAGGCUAUGUCCUCUAGUUCUAGUGUCACCUACUUGUGCAAACAACUUCCCUGCCUCUAUCUUAUCUAUACCUUAAAAAUAUAUUUAUAUAUCUUUUACAUUUUCUAUAAGAUGUCCUCUCACCCUUCUGAAUUCCGGUGAGUACAGUCCGAGGUGACUCAAUCUCUUCUCAUAGACUAACCUGCUCAUCUCUGGGAUCAGCCUGGUGAACCUCCACUGCACCACCUCCAAAGCCAGUAUAUCCUUCCUCAAGUAAGGAGACCAGAACUGUAGACAGUACUCCAGAUGCGGCCUCACCCGUACCCUGUAGAGUCCCUGCUCUUAAAUUCGAUUCCUUUAACAAUGAAGGACAACAUUCCAUUUGUCUCCUUGAUAGCCUGAAGCACCUGCAAACCAACCUUUUGUGGUUCAUGCACAAGCACUCCCAAAUCCCUCUGCACAGCAGCAUGCUGCAAUCUUUUACCAUUUAAAUAAUAAUCUGAUCUUCCAUGUUUCCUUCCAGAGUGGAUGCCCUCGCAUUUACCAACUUUGUACUCUAUCUGUCCACUCACUUAACCAGUCUAUAUGUCUCGACAGACUCUCCGCAUCUUCUGUACAAUUUGCUUUUCCACUCAAUUUAGUAUCAUCAGCAAACUUAGAUACACUACACAAGGUCCCCUCUUCCAGAUCGUUAAUGCGUAUUGUGAACACCUACUGAACAAGAUUCUUCCGCUAGUGUACAUAGAAGGGCUGAAUGGCUGGGGCAGAGUCUCAAACAUUGAACGAAUGUAUUAUCAGCCCCAGGGGAUCACACGAGUGACAAUGGUGAUGUUGCUUUAAAAAUAUCAAUUAACACUACUGAAUGCAAUGACCUUCAAUGAAAUAUAUUUUGCAUUGUUUUGUUCUUGGUAUAUCUAUUAUGAAUGAAGGUGGAUUUUGAAAUGAGUAAAAGUAAUUUGAGACAGAGGUCACUCAGUAUCAUUGGAUGGAAUGAGCUCCACAGAGAGCCAAGAGAUAUUCACAACGAGAGAGAACCCUUCAAGGUGUCACACUGUUGUGUCCAGCCUGUGAUGACCCCAAAGGUUGUUUUGAAGACCUGGAGUUACACACUGACUUCGGUUCUUUGUGGGAAUUGGACCCAGUCUCAGGGUUUCUUGACUGGCCAUUAUUCAAUAUGCCAAGAAUGCAGAGUAAGAGAUUAUCUCACCUUUGAAGUUCCGGGAUCUCGUGGUCUGCAUCCCGGCAGGAAAUCAGUGUGUCGCAGUGGAUGGAAGAUCUCUGGCUGUGUGCCCAGAGUCCCGAGAUCUUUGGGCACAGAACUUAGAAAAAGCAAUGCAGCGGACUUUUAACAUCAUAAAUCAACGAGUUCUUUGUUAUGAAACGGAGACACCUCUUUCUCUCUUAUUAGCGAGGGAGAGAGUCUGUGGUAUGUCGGAGACUGGGUGAAUGAGUAGUCUUUGGGGUACUGCAAGUCUGUGUCUUUGCUGUUGCUUUGAUGCAUGCUUGAGUGCUUGGUGGCUGUGCUGAUGCUUAUUUGCUAGUGGAGGAGGGUAAUUGUUGCUUUGCUGCUGCUUAUGCAUGGGAGGGACUUUUGUGUUCUGUUAGGGGUCACCCUAGUUUAAAAAGGGAUCCAGAAUAGACUCUAUGAACUGUGCUGAUAUUAAGAGAGAGAGAGAGGGAGGCGUCCAGCACAGUGAGAGAGAGAGCGACAGCAACUGCUCGGAAGAUUGAUGUAAUGGUUCUCUGCCAGCUUGUUUACCUUUUCCCCUAGGUCACUUGCCUGCUUGUAGAGUUUCUGCAGGAAGUGAAAGGCGGAGAAGGAUGAUCGACAGUUGGUGUCCUACAUGGAGAGAUAAAAGCCAGUACCGCCAUAACACACUGAGACACACCACAAGGCACACAGUGCAGACACUGAUUGAGCUUUGUUGCACCCACAUGAAGGUGGGGUUUUUGGAGGAUCAAUUUGUGGAAAUCGAUCAGUGGCUCACAGUGUGAAAAUCUGCGACCAGUGGGGAAUUAUUUGUGAGUCCAUCCUUGCCUGUGUGAUAAUUCCAUCAGUGAAGAAUGGUUGUACGUGCUAUGGUCAUAGUCGGUGACGACAACAGGAUUUCGGAAGACAAUGGGAAGAUCGACAGUGACAGUCUCAGUCUCUCUCUCUCUCUCUCUCUCUCUCUCUCUCUCGUUACUCAACGAACGACCUCAAACUGAGCUGAACUCUCUUCAUCACAUCGUAAGACUGUACCCAUUUACCCCUAGGUUUGAUACAGCCUAGUUUUGUUUCUAUUUCCACACAUAUAUUCAUCUAUAUCAUUGCUAACCUGGUCAACGUAUUUGC